rnacentral:rRNA from 1 species
UUAGAGUUUGAUCCUGGCUCAGAUUGAACGCUGGCGGCAGGCCUAACACAUGCAAGUCGAGCGGAUGAAGGGAGCUUGCUCCUGGAUUCAGCGGCGGACGGGUGAGUAAUGCCUAGGAAUCUGCCUGGUAGUGGGGGAUAACGUCCGGAAACGGGCGCUAAUACCGCAUACGUCCUGAGGGAGAAAGUGGGGGAUCUUCGGACCUCACGCUAUCAGAUGAGCCUAGGUCGGAUUAGCUAGUUGGUGGGGUAAAGGCCUACCAAGGCGACGAUCCGUAACUGGUCUGAGAGGAUGAUCAGUCACACUGGAACUGAGACGCGGUCCAGACUCCUACGGGAGGCAGCAGUGGGGAAUAUUGGACAAUGGGCGAAAGCCUGAUCCAGCCAUGCCGCGUGUGUGAAGAAGGUCUUCGGAUUGUAAAACACUUUAAGUUGGGAGGAAGGGCAGUAAGUUAAUACCUUGCUGUUUUGACGUUACCAACAGAAUAAGCACCGGCUAACUUCGUGCCAGCAGCCGCGGUAAUACGAAGGGUGCAAGCGUUAAUCGGAAUUACUGGGCGUAAAGCGCGCGUAGGUGGUUCAGCAAGUUGGAUGUGAAAUCCCCGGGCUCAACCUGGGAACUGCAUCCAAAACUACUGAGCUAGAGUACGGUAGAGGGUGGUGGAAUUUCCUGUGUAGCGGUGAAAUGCGUAGAUAUAGGAAGGAACACCAGUGGCGAAGGCGACUUUCUGGUCUGAUACUGACACUGAGGUGCGAAAGCGUGGGGAGCAAACAGGAUUAGAUACCCUGGUAGUCCACGCCGUAAACGAUGUCGCCUAGCCGUUGGGAUCCUUGAGAUCUUAGUGGCGCAGCUAACGCGAUAAGUCGACCGCCUUGGGA